rnacentral:misc_RNA from 1 species
AAGUCGUAACAAGGUUUCCGUAGGUGAACCUGCGGAAGGAUCAUUACAUAACAUUGAGUAAGUGCGCAAGCACCCACUUGACAUCCUUGUGAACCGUAAUUGACACCUUUGGUGAAUGCAAAUUUGCCAAACGGUACCAAACAACAAAAACCUAGUAAACACAUUCGACUUAUCACUAAUAAUCUAAUUAUUAUACAACUUUUAACAAUGGAUCUCUUGGCUCUU